AUUGAACGCUGGCGGCAGGCCUAACACAUGCAAGUCGAACGAGUGGCGGACGGGUGAGUAAUGUCUGGGAAACUGCCUGAUGGAGGGGGAUAACUACUGGAAACGGUAGCUAAUACCGCAUACCAUCGGAUGUGCCAAGAUGGGAUUAGCUAGUAGGUGGGGUAAAGGCGCACCUAGGCGACGAUCCCUAGCUGGUCUGAGAGGAUGACCAGCCACCCUGGAACUUGUACACGGUCCAUACUCCUACGGGAGGCAGCAGUGGGGAAGUUUGCACAAUGGGCGCAAGCCUUAUGCAGCCAUGCCGCUUGUAUGAAGAAGGCCUUCGGGUUGUAAAGUACUUUCAGCGGUGAGGCGUUACCCGCAGAAGAAGCACCGGCUAACUCCGUGCCAGCAGCCGCGGUAAUAC
rnacentral:rRNA from 1 species